UACGUAGGGUGCGAGCGUUGUCCGGAAUUAUUGGGCGUAAAGAGCUUGUAGGCGGUUUGUCGCGUCUGCUGUGAAAAUCCGGGGCUCAACCCCGGACUUGCAGUGGGUACGGGCGGACUAGAGUGUGGUAGGGGAGACUGGAAUUCCUGGUGUAGCGGUGAAAUGCGCAGAUAUCAGGAGGAACACCGAUGGCGAAGGCAGGUCUCUGGGCCACUACUGACGCUGAGAAGCGAAAGCAUGGGGAGCAAACAGG
rnacentral:rRNA from 1 species